rnacentral:rRNA from 1 species
AGAGUGAACGCUGGCGGUAGGCCUAACACAUGCAAGUCGAACGGCAGCACAGUAGGAGCUUGCUCUUACGGGUGGCGAGUGGCGGACGGGUGAGGAAUACAUCGGAAUCUACCUUUUGGUGGGGGAUAACGUAGGGAAACUUACGCUAAUACCGCAUACGCCCUUCGGGGGAAAGCCGGGGACCAGCAAUGGCCUGGUGCUGAUAGAUGAGCCGAUGUCGGAUUAGCUAGUUGGUGAGGUAAUGGCUCACCAAGGCGACGAUCCGUAGCUGGUCUGAGAGGAUGAUCGGCCACACUGGAACUGAGACACGGUCCAGACCUCUACGGGAGCAGCAGUGGGGAAUAUUGGACAAGUGGGCGCAAGCCUGAUCCGAGCCAUACCGCAGUGGGUGAAGAAGGCCGUUAGGGUUACGUUAAAGUCCCCGUUUUGUUAACGGGAAAGAAAAGACGUAGUUACGGUUUAACGUACCCCGGGUUGUU